UACGUAGGGCGCAAGCGUUAUCCGGAAUUAUUGGGCGUAAAGAGCUCGUAGGCGGUUUGUCGCGUCUGCCGUGAAAGUCCGGGGCUCAACUCCGGAUCUGCGGUGGGUACGGGCAGACUAGAGUGAUGUAGGGGAGACUGGAAUUCCUGGUGUAGCGGUGAAAUGCGCAGAUAUCAGGAGGAACACCAAUGGCGAAGGCAGAUCUCUGGGCCGUAACUGACGCUGAGGAACGAAAGCAUGGGGAGCGAACAGG
rnacentral:rRNA from 1 species